rnacentral:rRNA from 1 species
UUUCAAGAUUCUAAGAGCAAACGGUGGAUGCCUUGGCAUCUGGAGCCGAAGAAGGACGUAUAAAUCUGCGAUAAGCCUCGGGGAGCUGAUAAUAGAGCUUUGAUCCGAGGAUCUCCGAAUGGGGAAACCCCGCCAGGCCCUUUGGGUGACCUGGUGACUCCCGCCUGAAUAUAUAGGGCGGGUAGAGGGAACGUGGGGAAGUGAAACAUCUCAGUACCCACAGGAAGAGAAAGCAAAAGCGAUUCCGUUAGUAGUGGCGAGCGAAACCGGAAGAGGCCAAACCGAUCAUGUGUGAUAUCCGGUAGGAGUUGCAUGGUCGGGGUUGCGGGACUUUCCGUACAGUUCUACCGAGCUGUGAGGGCAAUGAGCGCGAUAUAGACGAAUGGUCUUGAAAGGCCAGUCAUAGAGGGUGCGAACCCCGUAGUCGAAAUGUCGUCGCCUGUCCGGAGAGUAUCCCAAGUAGCACGGGGCCCGAGAAAUCCCGUGUGAAUCUGUCAGGACCACCUGAUAAGCCUAAAUACUCCCAGAUGACCGAUAGCGGACAAGUACCGUGAGGGAAAGGUGAAAAGUACCCCGGGAGGGGAGUGAAAUAGUACCUGAAACCGUUUGCUUACAAACCGUUGGAGCACCCUUGUUGGUGUGACAGCGUGCCUUUUGAAGAAUGAGCCUGCGAGUUAGUGAUAUGUGGCGAGGUUAACCCGUGAGGGGCAGCCGUAGCGAAAGCGAGUCUUAAUAGGGCGUAUGAGUCGCAUGUUCUAGACCCGAAGCGAAGUGAUCUAUCCAUGGCCAGGUUGAAGCGACGGUAAGACGUCGUGGAGGACCGAACCCACUUCAGUUGAAAAUGGAGGGGAUGAGCUGUGGAUAGGGGUGAAAGGCCAAUCAAACUUCGUGAUAGCUGGUUCUCUCCGAAAUGCAUUUAGGUGCAGCGUUGCGUGUUUCUUGCCGGAGGUAGAGCUACUGGAUGGACGAUGGGCCCCAAAAGGUUACUGACUUCAGCCAAACUCCGAAUGCCGGUAAGUGAGAGCGCAGCAGUGAGACGGUGGGGGAUAAGCUUCAUCGUCGAGAGGGAA